CCUACGGGUGGCAGCAGUCGGGAAUAUUGCGCAAUGGAGGAAACUCUGACGCAGUGACGCCGCGUGCAGGAAGAAGGUUUUCGGAUUGUAAACUUCUUUAGACAGGGAAGAAACAAGACAGUAUCGCUAAAAUAUGCUCCGGCUAACUACGUGCAAGCAGCCGCGGUAAUACGUAGGGGGCAAGCGUUAUCCGGAGUUAUUGGGUGUAAAGGGUGUGUAGACGGGAAGUCAAGUUGAUGGUGAAAUCCCUCGGCUUAACUGAGGAACUGCAACCAAAAAUAAAUUUCUUGAGUGCUGGAGAGGGAAGUGGAAUUCCUAGUGUAGCGGUGGAAUGCGUAGAUAUUAGGAGGAACACCAGUGGCGAAGGCGACUUUCUGGACAGUAACUGACGUUGAGGCACGAAAGUGUGGGGAGCAAACAGGAUUAGAUACCCGUGUAGUC
rnacentral:rRNA from 1 species